UCUGGUGGCGAUGCGCUUAGGGGACACACCCGUUCCCAUCCCGAACACGAUGGUUAAGACCUAAGCGGCCGAUGGUACUUUACUGGAGACGGUACGGGAGAGUAGGCGGCUGCCAGAC
rnacentral:rRNA from 1 species